GGAAGUAAAAGUCUAACAAGGUUUCCGUAGGUGAACCUGCGGAAGGAUCAUUAUUGUAUAACCGAGGUGCGAGGGCUGUCGCUGACCCGAAAGGUCGUGCACGCCCGAGUGCCCUCACACACAUCCAUCUCACCCCUAUGUGCACCACCGCGUGGGUCCCCCUUUGGCUUGUUCGGAGGGGGGCUUGCGUUUUCACACAAACUUUGUAUGCAGUGUAGAAUGUAUUUUUUGUUUUUGCGAUCACGCAAUCAAUACAACUUUUAACAAUGGAUCUCUUGGUUCCG
rnacentral:misc_RNA from 1 species